UACAGCCAUAUCAUGUUGAAACACAGGUUCUCAUACUAUCUCAGCAGUUAAGCAACCCCGAGCUCGGUCAGUACCUAGAUGGUGUACCGCUUGGGAACAUCAGUUACUGUAAG